rnacentral:rRNA from 1 species
AACGAACGCUGGCGGCAGGCCUAACACAUGCAAGUCGAACGCCCGUAGCAAUACGGGAGUGGCAGACGGGUGAGUAACGCGUGGGAACGUGCCCUUCGGUUCGGAAUAACUCAGGGAAACUUGAGCUAAUACCGGAUACGUCCGUAAGGAGAAAGAUUUAUCGCCGAAGGAUCGGCCCGCGUCGGAUUAGCUAGUUGGUGAGGUAACGGCCCACCAAGGCGACGAUCCGUAGCUGGUCUGAGAGGAUGAUCAGCCACACUGGGACUGAGACACGGCCCAGACUCCUACGGGAGGCAGCAGUGGGGAAUAUUGGACAAUGGGCGAAAGCCUGAUCCAGCCAUGCCGCGUGAGUGAAGAAGGCCUUAGGUUGUAAAGCUCUUUCAGCGGGAGGAUAAUGACGGUACCCG